rnacentral:misc_RNA from 1 species
GCUGGGAGAGACUCCCUAGUCCAUGAGGCAAGUAUGGAAGCUUGUCACAAGAGCUUAGGUCCAAGAUAAUCAACCUCUUCAGAGAAGUGAUUGAAGAGCUUAGCUUGGAUAGCUUGGUGCAUCCACUUAAAACCAAGAUCUGGAGUUUGCUAAUCGAAUCGGGAACUUCUUCUAGGCCCUUGGAUCCACUUAGAUUUAGAUAAGCUAGGCGUUCCAGGGAGCUAAUCCAACGCAGGAGCUUCUUUAAAGCAACGUUGUCUAGCUUAUUACUAGACAAGUCAAGUGCCCUGAGUGAGCAGAGUGAACCCAAAUUACUGUGGAGUUGAGUUUGAUUGUUAGUUGUCUGCAGCAAAGCCCUGAGCUUUGGAGUUUUGUUCAAGGAUUGUGCAUCCACUUCACUUGUGAA